GAGAGCCUAGUAAACACUGUAUUACGUGGCUUUGUCGUAGCCAAAUCACAGCCUCUGGUGGCUCUCAU
rnacentral:tRNA from 1 species